rfam:Parcubacteria (Giovannonibacteria) bacterium GW2011_GWA2_45_21 TX06_C0003, whole genome shotgun sequence.
GGUGGGGUGGCAGAGCGGUCUAAUGCACCGGUCUUGAAAACCGGAGCGCCUUUACGGGCGCCGUGAGUUCGAAUCUCACCCCCACCG